rnacentral:rRNA from 1 species
ACGGCCNGUUACACUACCCCUAUCACAGACAUAACUCCGGGAAACCGGUGCUAAUAUCUGAUGAGGUCGCGAGAUCAAAGCUUCGGCGGAUAGGGAUGAGCCUGCGGCUGAUUAGCUAGUUGGUGAGGUAAUGGCUCACCAAGGCAACGAUCAGUAGCUGGUCUGAGAGGACGAACAGCCACACUGGAACUGAGACACGGUCCAGACUCCUACGGGAGGCAGCAGUGAGGAAUAUUGGUCAAUGGGAGCAAUCCUGAACCAGCAAUGCCGCGUGUGGGAUGACAGGGCUCAGCCUUGUAAACCACUGUCGGAUGGGACGAGAGGGGGCCUUGGGUCCCUGGGACGGUACCAUCAAAGGAAGGGUCGGCUAACUACGUGCCAGCAGCCGCGGUAAUACGUAGGACCCGAGCGUUGUCCGGAUUCACUGGGUAUAAAGGGUGCGUAGGCGGCCUUGUGCGUCAGAGGUGAAAUAUCCGGGCUUAACCCGGAGGGUGCCUUUGAUACGGCAGGGCUUGAGUCCGAGAGAGGGUGAUGGAAUUCCUGGUGUAGCGGUGAAAUGCGUAGAUAUCAGGAGGAACACCGGUGGCGAAGGCGGUCACCUGGCUCGGAACUGACGCUGAGGCACGAAAGCGCGGGGAUCAAACAGGAUUAGAUACCCUGGUAGUCCGCGCCCUAAACGAUGUAUGCUUGGUGUUGGACCUUUCGGGGUUCAGUGCCGUAGGGAAUCUGAUAAGCAUACCACCUGGGGAGUACGAUCGCAAGGUUGAAACUCAAAGGAAUUGACGGGGGCCCGCACAAGCGGUGGAUCAUGUGGUUUAAUUCGAUGCAACGCGAAGAACCUUACCCGGGCUUGAAGUGCAGAAAGUACAGAGAUGAAAGUCGACGGACCCGUU